CCCCCUGUUUUUCCAGCGCAAUUAUUCACAGCACCCUUCCCCCCACCAGAAAAAGUCCCACUUCGGAUGGAAACAAAUUAUCCAAGUCUCCUUAUCAAUCACCAUUUGUAUGCAGAUGCCUCCUGAAUUGCCGCAAAGCCCAGUGGCUCAGAGGGGGGCUCGGAAUCAGCUCCCCGGGUUUAUAUCCGGUUCCACCGCUUACGAGCCUCUGAGACCCAGGGCCGUUUAAGUCAUUUUUUUGCACUCCAGAACCCUCAUCAGCAAAACGAGAAUAAUACCACGAAUCUCUUUAGAAGUGAGGGUUAAAUGAACGAAGUCACUAGCGUGAGGUCCACCGCGUUUUUAAGUGCUUAAUAAAUUAAGCCAGCCCAAACUUGUCUCCUGAGUUCCAGACGCAUUCAGCUACACUAUGCUAUAGACGGAUCUGGAAGACCUGUGUUCCCACCGCUCCGUGUGUUGGCAGCAGUGGGACCAAGGACUUUGCCAGUUUUAAGCUUCAGGGCUUGGAACCAGAAGAGAGACAAGGUCCAAGAGGAGAGAAGCUCACCUGGAGAAUGGAACGGGCAAACUCACUCUGACACUGGCUUUUUUCAAGUCCUGUUUUCCUCCCUUCAGCUCCGAGUUUGGACCCGUGAGCUUCCCUUCCUGCUGCCAGGUUCAGCCAGGCUUUUGGCUUCUUUAUCCCUCAGUGACAAAAUCAUGUCAACGGCUCUGCACUCACCAGGGUUAACUGUGGAAAUCAGAUGAAAUGCUCUGUAAACUUUGCACAUGUUCGUUGUUGUUAUUCUCGAGCCACGUCUGCAUGUUCAAGUGUUGGGAUGUUACUCGUUAAGAGAGCUUUCCAGUCAAAUGAAGGACUUAAUUUAUUACUGAGAAAUGCUAAUUUCACUUGUUAUUCAGUAACAUUUGGUGUCCACUCCACCAGUAUACUAAGUGUUUUACCUGCUUAUCUGUGACAUUGCUUUUUUAUUUUUCCCCAUUUUACACAUUCAAAAAUUAAGUUUGGAAGAUGAAGUCGUCUGCCCAAGGUCGUCUAUUUUAUAAAAAGCAGAGCUGAGAGUCAAAACUGAUGCCAAGCCUUUGUGGUCAACCACAACAUACAAGAUUGCACAGACAGCCGAUGCUUCACAUCCUUUCUCCUGUUCACAACUGGCUGUCUCUUUUUACUGUACGUUUUUAGAGAUAGGGUAGUGUAUCGAUCAUAAAUCUUUCUUAUUACAAAAUAACAGUUGUCUCUUCAGGGCUGUCCAGUUAAGUGGGGGUAGGGUGAAGGGGGUUAGGACGGUGAUUCCUCUCUACAGUAAGUGCCCAAGAAAUGGGGAUCCUAAUUAAUGCUUAAAAUAAAAUGGGAAAACUGGAAAGUA